GCAAGGUUAACCGAAUAGGGGAGCCGGAGGGAAACCGAGUCUUAACCGGGCGUUAAGUUGCAGGGUAUAGACCCGAAACCCGGUGAUCUAGCCAUGGGCAGGUUGAAGGUUGGGUAACACUAACUGGAGGACCGAACCGACUAAUGUUGAAAAAUUAGCGGAUGACCUGUGGCUGGGGGUGAAAGGCCAAUCAAACCGGGAGAUAGCUGGUUCUCCCCGAAAGCUAUUUAGGUAGCGCCUCGUGAAUUCAUCUCCGGGGGUAGAGCACUGUUUCGGCUAGGGGGCCAUCCCGGCUUACCAACCCGAUGCAAACUGCGAAUACCGGAGAAUGUUAUCACGGGAGACACACGGCGGGUGCUAACGUCCGUCGUGAAGAGGGAAACAACCCAGACCGCCAGCUAAGGUCCCAAAGUCAUGGUUAAGUGGGAAACGAUGUGGGAAGGCCCAGACAGCCAGGAUGUUGGCUUAGAAGCAGCCAUCAUUUAAAGAAAGCGUAAUAGCUCACUGGUCGAGUCGGCCUGCGCGGAAGAUGUAACGGGGCUAAACCAUGCACCGAAGCUGCGGCAGCGACGCUUAUGCGUUGUUGGGUAGGGGAGCGUUCUGUAAGCCUGUGAAGGUGUGUCGUGAGGC
rnacentral:rRNA from 1 species